rnacentral:lncRNA from 1 species
UUUGGACUUUGAUUAAUAGUUACACCACCAGUUUCACUGCAAGUUUCUCCAGCUUGCAGAUGGCCUAUUGUGGAAAUUUUCAGCCUUUAUAAUCAUCAGAUGAGUCAACUCACUUAAUAAAUCUUCUAUCUAUCAUCUAUCUAUCUAUUCAUCUAUUGUUUCUGUCUGUCUCUGGGGAACUCUGAUUAAUACAGAACUGAUAAAUAAGAAUCUAGAAAGUGUGGAGUUCUGAUUGAAAAUAAUCCUAGACAAUAUUCUCUUGCAUCUCACUUUGGAUUAUUAUGCAGAUAUUGCAUAAGUUUUUUUUUUUGUCUUUUUUAAUUGAGUAAGUCAUAUAUAAAGUACAAAUUUUUCUCACUUGAUGUAGGGUUAGUUACUUCCUUUCUUUUUUCCUUUUUCCUUCCUUCUUUUUUGUUUUGUCUAUUUUUUCUUGAUUGAAGAUUGAGUUAUCCAAGCCUACAUGACAAAUCAUGAUUUACCUUUAUAUUUGUUUAAAGAUUUCACAUAUGCCACCAUUUUUUGCCACUAAGUCUUAAACUCAGAAAACACUCUGAGACACUUGGAUAAUUUCUAGAUAAAGCUGUUGCUCAAUGAAUGCCACUUUUAAAAUUCAAAAUAUAUUCUAAUUUCUGCAGUAGGCCAAAGGAAUAAUAAGUGUGGGGCCAGAGGCACUUUCUAUGGAGUAUUGACUAAGAGAACAAGAAUGAAAUUGAAAGACGGGGAAGCUAUCAGUGAAAAUACACUGUUCCUGGGCCCGAAACUAACUGGAUAUAUGGAUGCAAGCAAAAUCUUUGGCCAAGGUCUGCUGGAGUUUGCUGGAGGUCCACUCAAGACCCCGUUUGCCUGGGUAUUACCAGCAGAGGCUGCAGAACAACCAAGAUUGCUGCCUGUUCCUACCUCUGGAAGGUUCAUCCCAGAGGGUCACCCACAAGUUGCCAGCCAGAGCUCUUCUCCAUGAGGACAUGAGUAUCCUGCAGAAGCCAGGUCUUUCAUCAAAGAGUUCAACACACAUUGGCCUAUGAGUCAGAGAAACUGAAGGAGGAUACAAGGCAAGGUAGAGCAAUUGCAGACACGGCUGCUGCUUCACACCAAUGAGGACCCAGCAUUCAAGGCACCAUCUUGGAAGCAGAUAUAGACCUUUAUCAGACAAGGAACCUGCCUAUGUGUUGUUCUUGGAUUACAAAGCCUUCAGAACUGUGAGAAAUAAAUUUCUAUUUCUUAUAAAUUACCUAGUUUCACACACUUUGUUAUAGUAAUACAAACACACUAGGUCAGUUUUUAUUUUUGUUAAACUUUGAUUGUGUAUGAAUAAACAUAAUUCCAAGGUAAAAAC